rnacentral:snoRNA from 2 species
UGGGCAGGGAUAGUGUGUAUCGACGUAGUGCAAAGACGAGUGCACUCUGUUCGAAAGAGUUCCCUGCAAAAUUGAUAUCAAAAGGGGAAGAUGGGCAGUUGUGCUUCAAUCCACCGUUGAAUCUUUCAACAAUCAUCUUCCCCACAUUU